UGGAUAACAAAACGGACUUUGCAGGCUUGACCAAAUAUUAAGUUCAAAGAAGAAUUUAUGAUCUAUAACUUUUUAAAGGGAGUGACAUAUUUUGCAUAACAAUUCUUUCUGUUUUUAUUAUGUUGUGUGCGGGUGCACGCUUCUGUGUUCUGCAUUGUCUCUCUUCCCAAUUAUUUUAGUCCCUUUCAACUAAACUUUGUACUCAAACAAAAGGGUGAUUACACAAACUUCUGACAUUUCAAAUUGCUUAUCAUACAACAGGAGCCUCGACUUGGAAGAUGG
rnacentral:misc_RNA from 1 species